rnacentral:rRNA from 1 species
GUCGAACGGUAACGGGCCUUCGGGUGCCGACGAGUGGCGAACGGGUGAGUAAUGCAUCGGAACGUACCUUUCAGUGGGGGAUAACGUAGCGAAAGUUACGCUAAUACCGCAUAUUCUGUGAGCAGGAAAGCAGGGGAUCGCAAGACCUUGCGCUGAUUGAGCGGCCGAUGUCAGAUUAGCUAGUUGGUGAGGUAAAGGCUCACCAAGGCGACGAUCUGUAGCGGGUCUGAGAGGAUGAUCCGCCACACUGGAACUGAGACACGGUCCAGACUCCUACGGGAGGCAGCAGUGGGGAAUUUUGGACAAUGGGGGCAACCCUGAUCCAGCCAUGCCGCGUGAGUGAAGAAGGCCUUCGGGUUGUAAAGCUCUUUCGGCCGGGAAGAAAUCGCAUGGGUUAAUACCCUGUGCGGAUGACGGUACCGGCAUAAGAAGCACCGGCUAACUACGUGCCAGCAGCCGCGGUAAUACGUAGGGUGCGAGCGUUAAUCGGAAUUACUGGGCGUAAAGCGUGCGCAGGCGGUUUUGUAAGACAGGCGUGAAAUCCCCGGGCUCAACCUGGGAACUGCGCUUGUGACUGCAAGGCUAGAGUACGGCAGAGGGGGGUGGAAUUCCACGUGUAGCAGUGAAAUGCGUAGAGAUGUGGAGGAACACCAAUGGCGAAGGCAGCCCCCUGGGUCGAUACUGACGCUCAUGCACGAAAGCGUGGGUAGCAAACAGGAUUAGAUACCCUGGUAGUCCACGCCCUAAACGAUGUCAACUAGGUGUUGGGUGGGUAAAACCAUUUAGUACCGUAGCUAACGCGUGAAGUUGACCGCCUGGGGAGUACGGCCGCAAGGUUAAAACUCAAAGGAAUUGACGGGGACCCGCACAAGCGGUGGAUGAUGUGGAUUAAUUCGAUGCAACGCGAAAACCUUACCUACCCUUGACAUGUCAAAACUUGGCAGAGAUGCUUGGUGCCCAAAGGAAUCUGAACACAGGUGCUGCAUGGCUGUCGUCAGCUCGUGUCGUGAGAUGUUGGGUUAAGUCCCGCAACGAGCGCAACCCUUGUCGUUAAUUGCCAUCAUUUAGUUGGGCACUUUAACGAGACUGCCGGUGACAAACCGGAGGAAGGUGGGGAUGACGUCAAGUCCUCAUGGCCCUUAUGGGUAGGGCUUCACACGUCAUACAAUGGUCGGUACAGAGGGUUGCCAAGCCGCGAGGUGGAGCCAAUCCCAGAAAGCCGAUCGUAGUCCGGAUUGCAGGCUGCAACUCGCCUGCAUGAAGUCGGAAUCGCUAGUAAUCGCGGAUCAGCAUGUCGCGGUGAAUACGUUCCCGGGUCUUGUACACACCGCCCGUCACACCAUGGGAGCGGGUUCCGCCAGAAGUAGGUAGCCUAACCGCAAGGGGGGCGCUACCACGGCGG